GGAAAUUGCUAGGGGUGCCUGUAAAAUCGGGCUGAGAAUACACCCUUAACACCUGAGACUGGGUAAUACCAGCGUAGGGAAGCCAUUUAUAAAGGAA
rnacentral:ncRNA from 2 species